ACCAGCAUGGUGUAGUGGUUUGAGCUUUGGACUAUGACUCUGGAGACCAGGGUUUGAAUCCCUGCUUGGCC
rnacentral:tRNA from 1 species